CCUACGGGAGGCAGCAGUGAGGAAUAUUGGUCAAUGGCCGGAAGGCUGAACCAGCCAUGCCGCGUGAAGGUCAGUGCCCUAUGGGCGUUAAACUUCUUUUGUGCGGGAGCAAUAAUGGUCACGUGUGGCCAGACGAGAGUACCGUACGAAUAAGCAUCGGCUCACUCCGUGCCAGCAGCCGCGGUAAUACGGGGGAUGCAAGCGUUAUCCGGAUUUAUUGGGUUUAAAGGGUGCGUAGGCUGUGAGGUAAGUCAGCGGUGAAAUGCCCCCGCUCAACGGGGUGAAGUGCCAUUGAUACUGGCUGGCUGGAAUGCGGAUGCCGUGGGAGGAAUGUGUGGUGUAGCGGUGAAAUGCAUAGAUAUCACACAGAACACCGAUUGCGAAGGCAUCUCACGAAUCCGCGAUUGACGCUGAUGUACGAAAGCGUGGGUAUCAAACAGGAUUAGAUACCCGAGUAGUC
rnacentral:rRNA from 1 species